GACGGGGGCCCGCACAAGCGGUGGAGCAUGUGGUUUAAUUCGAUGCAACGCGAAGAACCUUACCAGGGUUUGACAUGCUGGUGGUAGAAGCCCGAAAGGGUGACGACCUUCGGUUUUCCGAGGGAGCCAGCACAGGUGCUGCAUGGUUGUCGUCAGCUCGUGUCGUGAGAUGUUGGGUUAAGUCCCGCAACGAGCGCAACCCUUACCCUUAGUUGCGACCAGGUUAUGCUUGAGCACUCUAAGGGGACUGCCGGUGACAAACCGGAGGAAGGUGGGGAUGACGUCAAAUCCGCAUGGCCCUUAUGUCCUGGGCGACACACGUGCUACAAUGGCCAGUACAGAGGGUUGCGAACCCGCGAGGGGGAGCCAAUCCCAAAAAGCUGGCCCCAGUUGGGAUUGCAGGCUGCAACUCGCCUGCAUGAACGCGGAAUCGCUAGUAAUCGCGGAUCAGCAUGUCGCGGUGAAUACGUUCCCGGGCCUU
rnacentral:rRNA from 2 species